rnacentral:rRNA from 1 species
GGAGUUAGCCGGUGCUUCUUCUGUGAGUGAUGUCCUUCCUGCCGGCUAUUAACCCGCAGGCCUUCUUCCUCACUGAAAGUGCUUUACAACCCGAAGGCCUUCUUCACACACGCGGCAUGGCUGGAUCAGGGUUGCCCCCAUUGUCCAAUAUUCCCCACUGCUGCCUCCCGUAGGAGUCUGGGCCGUGUCUCAGUCCCAGUGUGGCUGAUCAUCCUCUCAGACCAGCUACGGAUCGUCGCCUUGGUGAGCCGUUACCUCACCAACCAGCUAAUCCGACAUAGGCUCAUCCGAUAGCGCGAGGCCCGAAGGUCCCCCGCUUUCCCCCGUAGGGCGUAUGCGGUAUUAGCCUGGGUUUCCCCAGGUUAUCCCCCACUACCGGGCAGAUUCCUAUGCAUUACUCACCCGUCCGCCGCUCGCCACCAGGGAGCAAGCUCCCCGUGCUGCCGCUCGACUUGCAUGUGUAGCGUCGCCGCCGACGCGUCACUCUGACGCCACUGACUACAACUACUCGA